rnacentral:rRNA from 1 species
UACGGGGGGUGCAAGCGUUGUUCGGAAUUAUUGGGCGUAAAGCGCGUGUAGGCGGUUUGUUAAGUCUGAUGUGAAAGCCCUGGGCUCAACCCAGGAAGUGCAUUGGAAACUGGCGGACUUGAAUACGGGAGAGGGUAGUGGAAUUCCUAGUGUAGGAGUGAAAUCCGUAGAUAUUAGGAGGAACACCGGUGGCGAAGGCGGCUACCUGGACCGAUAUUGACGCUGAGACGCGAAAGCGUGGGUAGCAAACAGG